UACGAGGGGGGCGAGCGUUGUUCGGAAUUAUUGGGCGUAAAGGGUGCGUAGGCGGGUCUUUAAGUCAGGGGUGAAAUCCUGGAGCUCAACUCCAGAACUGCCUUUGAUACUGAGGAUCUUGAGUUCGGGAGAGGUGAGUGGAACUGCGAGUGUAGAGGUGAAAUUCGUAGAUAUUGGGAAGAACACCAGUGGCGAAGGCGGCUCACUGGCUCGUAUCUGACGCUCAGGCGCGACAGCGUGGGGAUCAAACAGG
rnacentral:rRNA from 1 species